rnacentral:lncRNA from 1 species
GGGGCGGAGCUGCCGGGGUGCGCAGUAGAGAUGGGGCGGCGCGGCCGGGGCUCGCCAGCACCAGCCCUGGAACCCCGCGGGGUCCUCGACAACAGCGCCUUGCGGCGUGUGCCCCAUUUCUGCAGCUCCUCCACCGGCGCGCUGUCGGCUCCGGGGCACUGGGGCUUUGAAGGGCGCCAGUUCCCAGCCGCACUUGCACGCCUGGGAGGGCGCAGGCCGCGUGUCCCUGUGGGAGGAAAGCCCCGGCAACCUGCAAAGACCUCACGUCACAGAAACUUGCGGCGUUUGCCCUCGAUGCGCGCGUCAGGUGCUCCGUCCCUUCCAGGUGGCAGAGAAGAGGGAAGGGUCCCGCCUGGUGGAGGCCUGAGAGCCACCGGGCUGCGGUGCGCGAGUGUGGACGCCGCCCCCGCCUUCUGCGUCUACAGCCCUGGGUUCUGGGACCUUUGGAAACCGCUUUGGACCAAGCUGAGCAUCUCUCUCCCCACGCUCACCUCCCCCAUAGACUCCGGAUGGGGGUAAAUGAGGCUCCUGGGAAAUCCAGAAACUUCACUCUAGAGAAGCUUGUUUGCCAAACCUUGCUUUGGGCGGUGGAGACUGAAUAUCAUGUCCCGGAUCAGCGUGUGAUGACUUUGGAGGCAUUUACACACAGCGCACUCCAGCUCUGCCACUGGGCCGGCUGAGGUGGCUGCGGUACACGGUGCCCAUCCUGAGCCCCAGGUUCCUCACGUCAACAGCAUGAAAAGUGCCUCUAAGACAUCCACAGGUGUGCAGUGUUAGAGCAGGCAGUGCCUCAGCUUGGUCAGCUCCCUUAAGGACUGUGGCUCCCUUAGGACAAGGCUGUGUCCCUCAGAGCACUGAGUGCGAUCUAAUGCUGGCAUCUUAGAGACAUUGUAUUCACCAGGUAAGAUGGAUUCACAUCUGCUGGGCGCACGAACACUUCCUCCUUCCUUGCCACCAGCCAGCAUCACAACCAGCCUGGCCAGGCUCCCGUCCCAGCCCAGCCUAGCAGCUAACCCCAGCUCCAUCCCCGAGCAAGCCCCUCUGCCUGUGCCUCAGCUUCUUCAUGGAAGACGAGUCAGGUCAUGAUGCCACCAGGGAGCGUGUUUCCAUGUUGAACUGAGACACUAAGCCCUUGACAAAUGUUGGCCAAGAAAAAAAGGGGCUCCAAGAGGGGACCUGUGGCUCAGGUAGAAGGCAGUGAACGAGCAUUGCCUGAAUCAGAGUUAGCUACUCUGGUUACGCAGGUGUCCCCGGCGGGUUGGUCAAAAGCCCUUCCCUGAGUCCUGUGACAAGUGGGGGGAGGGAGGCAAAUCAAAGACCCCCACACACCUCCUGCAUGGAUGGCCAGAGCGCUGGUCCCACCUCCUUCCUUCCAAACUGCAACCCCCAUCAGCACAGCAGAGAAGUCUCCUGUGGCAGGGACCAGUAAUUCAGUGCUUCCCCUGGAGAGUCUGGGAUCGCACAGAACACCAGAGGCUGGGGAUUUAUUUGUUCACCAACAUUCAUUCAACAAACACUUACUGAGGCCAACACUGGGAAUGGAGACGAACUUCCCUGUCCUCAUGGAGCUUGCUUUCAAAAGGGAAGGAGGCAGAUAGUAAACAAAACAAGCAAGUCAAUAUAGAGCAUGAUGCAGAAAAGGUGUGAUGCCACCCUCUUGCCUGAGUUUAUAACAAGCAGAUGAUGUUGUCCUAAGAAUUAAUUUCAGCCGGUGAAAGAGUGCAGGCAAAAAACGUGGUCUCGGACUUUCCGGUGAUGCUUAAGAACAUAGUUGCAGUUUUUGUUCUGAUUCUUUGUGCAUCUCGUGCUAGUGAAGGAUUCUGCCAUGAUUGCCACCUCUGGAGAUGUCACAGCCAGCACAGCCAUGACCAGGGAUGAACUUGGCCAUCGUCCAGCAGCACCAUGGGAGGACCAACUGCUGUAAGUGAAGGUCAUCAUCCAUCUGAUUUGCUGGCUUUUUACCACUACUGAGGUGGAAGUCUUAAGAGUAGCCACCUUCUCUGUACUCAGACCUUCACUUCGCCCGGAUGUCAGCACAGCAGUGUCAGCAGCUUCGUCAAACACAAACACCACCACCUCUCUGGAUCAGAAGCACAUGGAAAGCCCACCUUCCAAGAAGACCCAGCUAAUCCAAAAGUACCCAUAUCCCUGUAGCAUCCUCUUAGCUGAAUGUCUCUACUCCUUAAACUUGUACCACUUUGAAGAGUAAAACUUUAAAUUCACUCA